UACGUAGGGGGCAAGCGUUGUCCGGAUUUACUGGGCGUAAAGCGCGUGUAGGCGGCCACGCAGGUCCGUUGUGAAAACUGGAGGCUCAACUUCCAGACGUCGACGGAAACCGUGUGGCUAGAGUCCGGAAGAGGAGAGUGGAAUUUCUGGUGUAGCGGUGAAAUGCGCAGAUAUCAGGAAGAACACCAAUGGCGAAGGCAGCUCUCUGGGACGGUACUGACGCUGAGACGCGAAAGCGUGGGGGAGCGAACAGG
rnacentral:rRNA from 1 species